rnacentral:rRNA from 1 species
UACGAAGGGGGGCUAGCGUUGUUCGGAAUUACUGGGCGUAAAGCGCACGUAGGCGGAUUGUUAAGUCGGGGGUGAAAUCCUGAGGCUCAACCUCAGAACUGCCUUCGAUACUGGCGAUCUUGAGUUCGGAAGAGGUUGGUGGAACAGCUAGUGUAGAGGUGAAAUUCGUAGAUAUUAGCUAGAACACCAGUGGCGAAGGCGGCCAACUGGUCCGAUACUGACGCUGAGGUGCGAAAGCGUGGGGAGCAAACAGG